CUUAAUAUUAGGAGCUCCCGAUAUGGCUUUUCCUCGAAUAAACAAUAUAAGUUUUUGACUUUUACCUCCUUCUUUAACUUUAUUGUUGACAAGUUCUCUUGUCGAAAACGGAGCUGGGACAGGUUGGACGGUUUACCCCCCACUCUCAUCAACUAUUGCUCACGCUGGGGCUUCUGUUGAUUUGGCUAUUUUUUCUUUACAUCUAGCUGGUAUUUCUUCUAUUUUAGGGGCUGUAAAUUUUAUCACAACAGUAAUUAAUAUACGAAUAAGAGGAAUAACUUUAGAUCGAAUACCUUUAUUUGUUUGAUCAGUUGCUAUCACAGCACUACUUUUACUUCUAUCUUUACCAGUUCUUGCUGGAGCUAUUACUAUAUUAUUAACAGAUCGAAAUCUUAAUACUUCAUUUUUUGACCCUGCAGGAGGAGGGGAUCCUAUUUUAUACCAACAUUUAUUUUGAUUUUUUGGGCAUCCUGAAGUAUACAUUUUAAUUUUACCAGGAUUUGGAAUAAUUUCUCACAUUAUUUCUCAAGAAUCAGGUAAAAAGGAAACUUUCGGGACCUUAGGUAUAAUUUAUGCUAUAUUAGCCAUUGGUUUAUUAGGUUUUGUUGUAAUUAACAUUUUUUCAUGAUCACACAAUGUUAAUUGUAAUUAUAAUUACAAUUUUAGUAGGAUAUUUAAUAGGAACAUUAUUUUUUAAUACUUUAACUCAUCGUUACUUAUUAGAAAAUCAAGGUAUUGAAGUAAUUUGAACUAUUUUACCUGCAAUUACACUUAUUUUUAUUGCAUUACCUUCUUUACGACUUUUAUAUUUAUUAGAUGAAGUUAGAGACCCUGCCAUCACUUUAAAGACUAUUGGUCAUCAAUGAUACUGAAGUUACGAAUAUUCAGACUUUAUCAAUUUAGAAUUUGAUUCUUAUAUAAUCCCAACUAAUGAAUUAGAAACUAGAGGUUUUCGCUUAUUAGAUGUAGAUAAUCGAAUCGUAUUACCUAUAAACACACAAAUUCGAAUUUUAGUUACUGCCGCAGAUGUAUUACACUCUUGAACAAUCCCUGCACUAGGUAUUAAAGUUGAUGGAACCCCUGGACGUUUAAAUCAAACAAGUUUUUUAAUUAAUCGACCUGGUUUAUUUUAUGGCCAAUGUUCAGAGAUUUGUGGAGCUAACCAUAGAUUUAUACCAAUUGUAAUUGAAAGAGUCCCUACAAAUAUUUUUAUUAAAUGAAUUUCAGCCAUAAGAGCUGCAUAAACCUGAGAAACCCGAAAGAUUCGAAAGAGGUGAUUCAAUGCCUUUCAUUGUCUGACGUUUUUUAGUUUGUGUGAUGGUAGUACGGGUUUUAUGCUUUCGGGUGUUUAAUUUAGUAUUGCCACACCUACUUUAAAAUAUUUGUUCAGAUAUGAAGGUAUGCAUUUCAUUUUCUAGUAGGACGUUGCGACCUGUUAGAUGUCUAUUUAAGGCCCAUAUGGUAGCCUAUUUCUGUUAUCCUAGAUAUAUGGAAGUAGACCUUUGGUGUUUCCCGAUAGACUGUCUGACGGUAUACAAUAGAUUGGGUAAAAAGCCGCCUUAUGGCGUUCAUUGUUUAUGCAAGUAAGAUGUGCAAUUCCGACUAUCGAAUUUAAUUCGUUAUUGGAUUCAUGUCGCUGUUUGCUUGUAAACAAAUAUUGAACUGGCUUUACUAUUACCUGUCUGCAACGAUUUAGUUUUGGGUACUUUCAGGAC
rnacentral:rRNA from 1 species